UAAGGUAGCGAAAUUCCUUGUCGGGUAAGUUCCGACCUGCACGAAUGGUGCAACGAUCUGGACACUGUCUCGACCAUGAUCUCGGUGAAAUUGUAGUAUCGGUGAAGAUGCCGAUUACCCGCAGCGGGACGAAAAGACCCCGUGAACCUUUACUACAGCUUUGCACUGAACUUUGAACCUACUUGUGUAGGAUAGCUGGGAGACAUUGAAGCGAGGACGCCAGUUCUUGUGGAGUCAACCUUGAAAUACCAGCCUGGUAUGUUUGGAGUUCUAACCUCGGUCCAUUAUCUGGACUAGGGACAGUGUAUGGUGGGUAGUUUGACUGGGGCGGUCGCCUCC
rnacentral:rRNA from 1 species